GUAGUCAUAUGCUUGUUUCAAGGAUUAAGCCAUGCAAGUCUCAGAGUAAAUGGAUUACCAGUGGAUCUGCAAACGGCUCAUUAAAUCAGCUACAAUCUACGAGGGAACGCAGCCUUUUGGCGCCAGUGGGAUAACAAUGGUAACUCCAUUGCUAAUACCUGUCCGAAAAAUCCCACUCGGUUCAAGUUGUUGGGGGAAACUCUAGCAGCUCGAGGGGGAUGCAGUUGACCGAAACGAGAACCAACGCUAGUAAUAGCAGUGGUUUGGUGGAUGAAACAGGUCAACCGAGCAAUAGCACAUGCUUUAAGCUGGUGCAAGCCCUCAAGAGUAUCUGCCCUAUCAGCUUUUGACGGUAGUGUAGUGGACUACCGUGGCAGUAACGGGUAACGGGGAAUUAGGGUUCGAUUCCGGAGAGGGAGCCUGAGAAACGGCUACCACAUCUAAGGAUGGCAGCAGGCGCGCAAAUUGCCCAAUAGCAACACUGCUGAGGCAGCGAAGAGAAAUAGAGACUUCUGAUGCUACGCAUUAUGGAGCUUUCAAUGGAUGAUAUCUAAACCUGUCAAUGAGUAACGAUUGGAGGACAAGUCUGGUGCCAGCACCCGCCGUAAUUCCAGCACCGGAUUCGUAUAUUAAUGCUGCUGCUGUUAAAAAGCUCGUAGUUGGAUCCAGGGUUCAGGUUGUAGGGUGCCAUGCUUUUCUGGUUGGGCGUGUAGUCUGGUCAGAGGGUAUGGGUCAAACAUUCUGCAUUAAAACCUGCGCUAUAUCAAGGUGGUGAAUGGUGCCCUGCGAUUAAGUCUUCGGACCGAAAGCACCUCCGCGCAAACCACGCGCUCAUGGGUCGACCACCGAUGUUACUGUGAACAAACCAGCGUGUCCAAAGCAGGCGAAAGUCAUAUGAAUGGUAAAGCAUGGAAUAACAAGGGAUCGACCAUCUUGGUCCUUCUUGUUGGUUCUCAAUCCGAGAAUGGGGAAUUCAAGCAGUCCGGUCCCUCUGAAAGCUUUGCUGAUGAGAACCUCUGCCGAACGGGAUCAAUAGGGACUGCCGGGGCCGUACGUACUCAUGCGUCAGAGGUGAAAUUCUUAGAUCGCAUGAAGACGAACUUCUGCGAAAGCAUUCGGCAAGAAUGUCUUCAUUAAUCAAGAACGAGAGUGUGGGGAUCGAAGAUGAUCAGACACCGUCGUAGUCCACGACUGUAAACGAUGCCGUCUCAGGAUCGAAGGGCGCAUUAUUUCAUGACCCCUACGGCACUACCCUCUGAAACGAGAAAUCAAAGAUUAUGGGUUCAGGGGGGAGUACAUUCGCAAGGCUGAAACUUAAAGGAAUUGACGGAAUGACACCACCAGGCGUGGAGUAUGCGGCUUAAUUUGACUCAACACGGGGAAUUUUACUAGGUCAGGACAAUGUAAGGAUUGACAGAUUGAGAGCUUUUUCUUGAUUAAUUGUGUGGUGGUGCAUGGCCGCUCCUGGUUGGUGGAGUGAUUUGUCUGGUUGAUUCCGUUAACGAACGAGAUCUCGACCCUUAAAUAGGUGACCCGGUUGCUCCGUAUGGACCGGAACACCUGUUCCGGAAACAUGGGCACAACUUCUUAAGGGGACUGUGCGCGUCUCUAGCGCGCGGAAGAGCGAGCCAAUAGCAGGUCUGUGAUGCUCCUAAAUGUCCUAGGCUGCACGCGCACUACACUGACGCAUUCAACGAGUCUGAUUGCCUUUCGGCAACCUAUCUUGAAGAGGACGGGAAAUCUUAUGAACUUGCGUCGUGAUGAGGAUAGAUGAUUGCAAUUAUUCUCCUUGAAUGAGGAAUGCCUAGUAGGCGCAAGUCAUCAGCUUGCACUGAUUACGUCCCUGCCAUUUGUACACACCGCCCGUCGUUGCUACCGAUUGGCUGUGGGAUAAAGCUUGGGGGAGGGGAUGAUCUCGCUUCGGCGGUGAUUUCCCAAAUCCAAGCAAUAUUGCUCAGCUAGAGGAAGCGAAAGUCGUAACAAGGUUGCUGUAGGUGAACCUGCAGAAGGAUCA
rnacentral:rRNA from 1 species